rnacentral:rRNA from 1 species
AGUGGCAGACGGGUGAGUAACAUGUGGGUAUCUACCCUUUGGCCUGGAAUAACACGAGGAAACUUGUGCUAAUACCGGAUAAGUCUUUACGGAGAAAGCUUUAUGCACCAUUGGAUGAGCCCGCACUUGAUUAGUUUGUUGGUAGGGUAAUGGCCUACCAAGACUAUGAUCAAUAGCUGAUUUGAGAGGAUGAUCAGCCACAUUGGGACUGAGACACGGCCCAAACUCCUACGGGAGGCAGCAGUGGGGAAUCUUGCACAAUGGAGGAAACUCUGAUGCAGCGAUGCCACGUGAGUGAAGAAGGCCUUUGGGUUGUAAAGCUCUUUCGUCGGGGAAGAAAAUGACUGUACCCGAAUAAGAAGGUCCGGCUAACUUCGUGCCAGCAGCCGCGGUAAUACGAAGGGACCUAGCGUAGUUCGGAAUUACUGGGCUUAAAGAGUUCGUAGGUGGUUGAAAAAGUUGGUGGUGAAAUCCCAGAGCUUAACUCUGGAACUGCCAUCAGAACUUUUCAGCUAGAGUAUGAUAGAGGAAAGCAGAAUUUCUAGUGUAGAGGUGAAAUUCGUAGAUAUUAGAAAGAAUACCAAUUGCGAAGGCAGCUUUCUGGAUCAUUACUGACACUGAGGAACGAAAGCAUGGGUAGCGAAGAGGAUUAGAUACCCUCGUAGUCCAUGCCGA